CAGCCGCCGUGGUAAUACCGGCGGCCCGAGUGGCGGCCGUGUUUAUUGGGCCUAAAGGGUCCGUAGCCGGCCCCGUAAGUCUCCCGGGAAAUCGGGCGGCUCAAACGUCCGCUUCCGGGAGAUACUGCGGGGCUAGGGACCGGGAGAGGCCGGGGGUACUCCCGGGGUAGGGGUAAAAUCCUAUAAUCCCGGGGGGACCACCUGUGGCGAAGGCGCCCGGCUGGAACGGGUCCGACGGUGAGGGACGAAGGCCGGGGGAGCAAACCGGAUUAGAUACCCGGGUAGUCCCGGCUGUAAACGAUGCGGACUUUGUGUCGGCCAAGCUAUGAGCUUGUCCGGUGCCGGAGGGAAACCGUUAAGUCCGCCGCCUGGGGAGUACGGCCGCAAGGCUGAAACUUAAAGGAAUUGGCGGG
rnacentral:rRNA from 1 species